ensembl:lncRNA
GUGUUGUGGGUGCGCUGCAUAUCUCAACUUUUCAAAUAUAUAAGUGAGCAAAAUGGAGUGGAGUUUGUGAAGAACUGUUUGUACAAAUGGAGACUUUUCUACGCGUGAAAGCUCGGACGCCUUCAAUCAAGUACAAAGAAAGCAGACAGCUGUCCAGACAGCACUUGAAUUUGACCACUAAAGUCUAGUGAGCGGCAAGACUGCCAUAAAGUGCCAGAAUAUUUGCAGAGAGGCAGAAAGAAAAGAAACAGCAGCAACAUCAUCAGACUGUUGGGCGCACGGUGGCUCAGUGGUUUGUGGCCUCACACCUCGAGGGUUGGGGGUUCGAUUCCCGCCGCGACCUUGUGUGUGCGGAGCAUGUUCUCCCUUUGCUGCGGAUUUUCCUCCGGGUAUUCCUGUUUCUUCCCCCAGUCCAAAGAUGUAAGCAUGGUCGGCUGAUAGGAAUGUCCAAAGUGUCAAGUGUCCGUAGUAUGAAUGGGUGUGUGAAUGUGUAUGUGUGUGUGCCCUGCGAUGGAUUGGCACCUCGUCCAGGGUGUACCCCGCUUUAUGCCCCAUACCCCCGGGAUACGCUCCAGGUUCCCCGCAACCCUGUAAGAUAAGUGGUACAGACAAUGGAU